rnacentral:tRNA from 1 species
AAUAUUAGCAAAUAAGUGCAUUAGAAUUAGAAUCUAAAAUUUCUUAAAAUUA